GAGGAGCCAGGCAGAGAAGGCAGCUUGGACAAGGCCUUGAAGCAGAAAUGGACUCUGCUUGCAGUCAGUGUGGCUAGAACACAAUGUGUGAAAUUGUGCAGGAUAAGACCCAAGAGGCAGGCUGGGCCCAAAUCACUAAUGGGUUUGUUAGCAGAGAUCCCAUUUGGUCCUCCCAGCAGUCCUGUGAGGUAGGCAGGGCUGGUAGAGUGUAAUAGGUGGGAAAGUGGGAUGUUCAGUGAUAAACAUGAGACUAGAACCUAAGGGUCCUUCUUCCUAGUCACAAGUAUGCACACUCACUCACCAUGGCCUCCAUCGUGCUAAGCAGCCAGGAGAGGAACGUGGACUAUUAUGCUGUUACUAGAGGCCCAGUACAUGACAUUCAUGCAGGGGACGGUGGGGGGGAGGAAGGGGAGGGGUUCCUCAGCCCAGCCUGUGCCCUCUCGCAGUCCGGGACCCCUCUGGGGAUGUCCGGCUUCUGGCUGAGUGGCGCUCACCCUGUGGGAGCACACUGACCACCAGGGGACAGCUCCUGUGCUGAGUGUCUCCCUGCUGUUCAGUUGAUUUGCAUAUUAGCCUUUUAUUAGAUAGGAUAAGUACUUACUAAGCUUUAAUAUACACAGGGCCUGGAGAUCUUGUUCAGAUGUUAGAUUCUGAUACAGGAGUUCUGGGGUGGGGCCCAGGGUUCAGAGGACAUCCUAGGCUGUGCAGUUGCUGCUGACCCAGGGACCACAUUUUGAGUGGCAGGACCCUACAUUUUCAUGUCUCCAGCUCCUGUCUUAUUCAUGCCCGGCUGCACGGAAGCGUUUAAGGUCUCUACUGAAGCCACAUAGUAAGUUGUUCCAUUUCCUAGUCACCUCUUCACAGGAAGACUGGCUUUAAAAUAAAUGGGAAGUUGAAUUUCAAAACCAAGUCGAAAGGGAAAUGAUGUGGCUUAAUGUGACAGUCAUUGACUUUAACUUUUUCAGUUUGUGGUGUUUUGCUUUAUUGUUAAAAACUCAUCACAGGAAGCAUGACGGAACAUUUUCUCCGAAUAAUUGCAUCAUACUUCAUUAUCAUGAGCUUGUCACCAGCAAGAAGUGCUUGCAGGUUCAUGCCUGGGUUUUCCCAGCCGCAGCAACCAUGCGUCAGCUGUGACCUUCCCACAGGACCCCAGCUGCGUGUGCUGUGUGCUCUGUGCCCCGGUCCCAGCAGGUACCAAGUUCAGCACCAUCCUCCUAUGCAGUGAACUUCCGUCUGUGAUGUACACCAGGUCAACCAGAAAGCUUUUGGAGUGAAUUGUUAAGCAAGCACAUUAUUUUUCAAUUCUAAAUGUAAUUUUUUAAAGUAAUUUAUCAUGGGAGGCUGAACAUCCCAAACAUUUGGAAUUCUUUAAGAAUUGAUUUUUCCUUUUGUGGGUGUGUGUUGUAAAAUACACGUAACAUAACAAUUGCCACCUUAACCAUUUUUAAAUGUACAGGUCAGUGUUAUUAAAUACAUUUACCUCAUGCAACCAUCACCACCAUCCAUCUCCAUAACUCUUUUCACCUUGUAAAUCUUAAACUUUAUACCCACUAAACAAUAACUUCCCAGGCCCCUCUCCCCACAGCCCCUGGACACCACCCUUCUACUUUCUGUCUUUAUAAUCUUGACUACUCCAAAUGCCUUAUAUAAGUAGAAUCAUGUUGUAUUUCUCUUUUUGUGACUGGUUUAUUUCCCCUAGCAUAAAGUCCUCAAGGCCCAUCCCUGUUGUAACAUGCAUCAGACUUUUCUUCCUUUUUAAGGCUGAAUGAUAUAUAUCAUGGUCUAUAUGUACCACAUUUUGUGUAUCCAGUCAUCUGUCAAUGGCAGUGUAUUGAUUCCACCCUUUGUCUAGUGUGAAUAGUGCUGCUAUAAACAUGGGUAUACAAAUGUCUUUUCAAACUGUUUUCAAUUCUUUUUCAUGCAAGCCCGGAAGUGGGAUUGCUAGAUCAUAUGGUAAUUCUAGUUUUAAUUCUUUGAGGAACCACCAUACUGUUUUUCACAACAACUAUACCAUUUUACAUUCCCACCACAGUACACAUGGGUUCCAGUUUUUCAAAUUCCUUACCUACACUGGGCUCCUAUUACUUUUUAUAGUAGCCAUCCUAUUGUGCGUGCAGUGUUAUGUCAUUGUAGUUUUGAUAUACAUUUCUAAUGCUUAGUGAUGUUGAGCAUCUCUUCGCGUGAUUAUUGGUUAUUCCUAUAUCUUUGAAGAAAUGUCUAUUCAAGUCCCUUUUUGUUCUUGAGUUUUACGAGUUCUCUAUAUAUUCUAGGUAUUAAUCCCAUAUCGGAUAAAGGAUUUGCAAACAUUUUCUCCCAUUCUGUGGGUUGCCUUUUUACUCCAUGAAUAGUAUUUUUUUUAUGUAUAAAAUAUUUAAAAUUUUCAUAAUGUUUGGUUUGUCAACUUGUUCUUUUGUCACCUGUGUCUUUGGCCAGGGGUGGAGGAUGGGUAGCUACUACUGUGCUAAGAGCUGAAACUGACCAAAAUUAGCUGCAGUUUACCGUUCAGAUCUUCCCUGGAAUUUGGGAACCUUCAACAGACUCCAGAGUCCCAAAAUAGUUAUAUCAGACAGAUUCUGCCAGUGCACUUGUCUAGGUGGAGAAAGAGAUUCCUGGUGCUUCCUACUCUACCAUCUUCCCACAAUCCUCUAAAAAUUGAUUUAGCGUAUCUAAUGGAAAUAGUCUCAUCUUGUAAAAAAAGAAAAAUACUUUUUUAAAAAGAAAAAUCAGUAUUUUUUACUUAUUUAACAGACUUCAUUUCAAAUAACUUAGCUGUUUCCAAAAAAAUUGAAUAUUCCUUCCAUGGCUGAAAAACAACUAUCACAGAUAUCCAAAGGAAUGUGCUGUACAUUCUGAAGACAAUAAUAAUAAUGAAUAAGGCUUACCAACUAUUUAUUAUGAAUCAGACUGUUAGGUAAACUUGUAAAUCUUCACAACAACCCUGUGCAAGGAAAAACUAACGGGUUGGAAUGAGUAAAAAGGAUUACUCGAUUAUCCUCUCAUUGGGAUGCUUGAUCAUGCCUUUGAAUAGGCUAUUUGACACUUCGAUAGAGGUAGAAGUUAAUUUAUAUACAACUGAUAAUAAUGAGAAUAUUUCCUAACUGGUGCUAUGUAAAGGAUUCCUGUCCAAGGGAAUGCAAGUGAUUUUGUCCUGUAAAGAAUAAUAAAAUCAAAUCCUCAUUUAAACCACUUUUAGCAUUUUCCUGGUUCUCUCAUUAAAGAGCAAGUUCAAUAAAAUCUUUGGCACAUGUUCAUUUUAUAUCUGCAUGAGAGUCAACAGUUCCUACCAUGUAAGUGUUCACAUAGAUUUUAAUCUUUAUAUAUUUAUAGCAUAGGUAAUGUUGGUGUCCUUGUUUUAUAGAUGAGAAACAGACUACGGUACUGAAGGCCACAUAGAUACUAGGUAGAGGAGAUGGGAUGCAAAUCCCAGAGUUCAUCUCCUUGACUACCUUGUGGUAUUUUGCAAGUAAAUACCACAGAAGGAAAGAAGACCCAAACAUGUUUUGUGCAAUGAUAGCUUCACUGGAGUAGGGUUAAGUCUUUUAAAAAAAAAACUCCUAGAGGAAGUAACUACUACCAUUCACAUUACUUUAGAGCAAGUGGCAAUUUUCUUGCAGUUUUUUCUGCUUUAAGCAGAUCAUGUUCUAUAUACCACAGUGCUUACAAAUGCCACCUAACUUGUUAAGACAAAAAAAUAAAAAUAAAUUCUGCACACAAUUACUUAAGUUUACCUUCCUGUCCAGUGCUAUUAGGUUUUGUGAGAAGAACAAAAGUAAAACUACUUCUGUCCCCAAAGAAUUUACAAUGAAUCCUAAGAAGACGCCCUAAGUGUAAAUCUAAAAAUAGGAUAUUGUUUGGCUCAGGGGGAAAAAAAUUGCUUUUUUAGCAGGACUAAGGUUGAAAGGAAAUGAUUUUCUUGGGUUGUAUAUGAAUGUUUUAAGCCUCUUAAAUGGAGUACUCCUUGGGGUCCAAAGUUGUCCAGCUCAAAUGUAAAUUUUUUAAAACUUCAAAUUGCAGUUCCUGUUAUCUCUGAACCUAUAAUUUCCUUCAAGUAUAAUUCUGACCAUUUAAUUGCCUCUUAAAAAUCUCUAGUGCCUACCCAUUGCCUACAGAAAAGGAAGUGGGGGAAAGGAGAUUAGUAUUGAGAAUCUGUGUCCUGGACAAUGAGCAACUUGCUCUCUGCAGACUACCUUGUUUAGUCCUCACAACAACCCUGUAAGUUAAGCACUAGUCACACCACUUAGGCCUUUCUCAUUUCCUAAAUGGGUUCUCAUCUCCUUUUUAUACUUAAUUUUCGUAUUUUCUCUUUACUAGAAUCCCACCAGAAUCUUUGGGGAAUUAAGUAAUUUCAUAUUUGUAACAUGAGCAAACUAGAUGAUUUGGGCAUAACUGCAAUCUAACUUCCAAGAUAGAUCAUGAAAAUAACAAUUUAAAAUGCCAUAUGCCUUAUUGAACUUCAUUUGUUAACAAACACAGCAUGCAUGCUGCUCACUCAGCUAUUUGAAGGUUUGGGGCUACCCUCAAUCUCCAGACAAUUCAAACUGUAGAUCUCCUCCUUCAUUUGUAUAAUAGAUCAUUGACUUUGCCAUCUUGUAUCUAAAGCUUUCUAGUCUCCAACCAAUAACACUACGUGUCUACACUGUAGUCAACUCAAUCAUGAAUAGGCUUCUAACCACAGCAUGUCAGCAGCUUAAUAAAUGAAACAAGAGCGUGUCAUCAGUCCAUUUCUCUUGUUCCCCCAAGUUUUAUUUCUGUAUCAAACUUGAUCCCAGAGAGCAGUAUACCUGGACAUAUAUUAGUUCCUUGCUUUUAGUAAAAACAACAGCCAUGUGAAUAACAUCUCUACGUUUCUUUAUGAGGAUCUAUGUAAUAAACUUUUCUCAGAAUUUAGUGCAAGUAAAAGUUUAGUCAAACUUCUAUGACUCCUCUUAUCAGAUGAAUCCUAUUGCUUCCCCUUUUUAGCUCCUACUAGAGAGCUCAGAGCCAAUGACUAUGCUCACUUUCUCACCCCAGCUUCUUGUAACAUUGCCCUGGAUCUUUCCUUAAAUAAUCUCUGAUCUCCUGUUUAUAUCUACAAUUUUUACCAUUUUACUUUGUCUUAAUUUUAAAAAGCUAACCUAAAUUUGGGGAAUAAGUCAGUAAAGGGUAAAUAAGUACAUAGUUUUAACGUGGACAUAUGUAACCUAGAGUUCCCAGUUUUUAAAACAUGUUUUAAAUUGCUAAAAUAUAUGUCAUUGUAAAUAGUUUGGAAAGAAAAGAAUGAGCCAUUUCACAGCAUACAAAACUGGCACAUAGACAAAACUGGUGAUGAAGGCAAGGGUUAUAGUGUCUUAUCACCCUAGCACUUAA